CAAUUCGAUUCCAUAGGCUUCAAUAACACGUUAUCUGUCCAUAAUGGGAGGUGUCCACCACCGCCAUUUUGACCGUGUCACAGGUUCCGUCCAGCCCAGACAAUUCCAUAAAAGGGAAGAGAGGAGGCGCUGAGGGUGUGGCUGUAAGGCUGGGCUCGAGUGACGACACCCAGGCGAACUAGCUACGAGCUAACCUGAAGCUAACCCUGGCUAACCCAAAGCUAAAGCGGAGGUGGGAGCCGAGCUAACGGAUGUAGCCACCUAGCUUCAACCCAACCGGAGCUAACUGGAACACCCAUCGACCUGAACCUCACACGGAGUUUAGGUGGAGGUUUUCUGCGCCUGUUCGUGAGAAGUACCUGUAUUAAAAAAGUUUUAAAUCGAUCUAUUAAAAGGUCACCAUGGCAGCCUGUGUGUCAACGUCAGCUACACAAAGCAAGUGUAAGUAACAAGUACCUGUCUUGACCACUUCAUGUAUGGUUUUGUACUUUAAACAACUAGGCCAAACCUGUUAUUUUUUCUCCAUAGCCAUUUGGAUCAUUGGAGACAGCUGAGUGAGGCGUGGUGCCCAGAGAGCUGCAGAGACAACCUUGGCCUCCCUGACGUCUGUGUCUCUUGGUUUGGUUGGGGCGGACCAUCGACAUACAUACAUACAUGUGCCGACACUUUGCGCCCUGUUUUAUAAAAUGUAGUGUUAAAAAUAAAUGUUUUUGCUCAAUUA